AAAUGGGGGCACCGAUACCCCAUGGAAGAGCAGUAGCGGCACUUUGCAGGUUAGACAAUGGUAGCAUUUUUUGCUUUCGAUUUCUGUGUAUUCAGCGCAGUGGAUUCCUUAACGCAGUUCGGUGAUUCAGCCAUCUCUUGCUCUGUACGAUGUCGUGCAGUUUGCUACUAUGAUGCCUGGUGUUUGAUUUUAUUUUUCAGACUUGCUCACCAGGUUCCCGACAGGAGGACCACACCAAGACGUUUCUGCAGCACACCCACUUCCAGUUCAGUCGGCGGAGGGUUGAGGGCCACCAGGAGGCUGACGGCGAGCCAGCCGUAGCAUUCACUACAGCUCGGCGGCAACGAUUUAUGCAUGAGUGUGGACUUGCAGUUCGUCGGUGAUCCACUAGCGGUUGGAGCAGCAAGGGCAUGUAGUCCACUAUUUCCUUUUUUGUUUGUCUUUUGAUGUGGUCUCGGCCAAGGACACAGUGCCUUUUCUUUUGCAGUCAAUCACUUGUAUUAGCACAAACUAGGAUUC
rnacentral:lncRNA from 1 species